rnacentral:ncRNA from 24 species
GAUGUGAUCACGUCCCGAGUCAUGCGACCUGUACCCGAUGGGGUAUGGUCGCCUGACCGGUCCCGGUCGUACCGGGCCAGGGUUGUCGGGGAAACCUGGCGGCCUCCCGUUGGAAAGGGGCGGAACUGCGGGAGAU